AGAAGCGUGCCCGAGACAUAAGGACUAUUUUGAUAAAAUAGACACAGAGCCCACUUGAACCUCUCGCUUCUU
rnacentral:tRNA from 1 species